UACGUAGGGGGCAAGCGUUAUCCGGAUUUACUGGGUGUAAAGGGAGCGUAGGUGGCAUGGUAAGCCAGAAGUGAAAACCCAGGGCUCAACUCUGUGGAUUGCUUUUGGAACUAUCAAGCUAGAGUGCUGGAGGGGUAAGCGGAAUUCCUAGUGUAGCGGUGAAAUGCGUAGAUAUUAGGAGGAACACCGGUGGCGAAGGCGGCUUACUGGACCGUAACUGACGUUGAGGCUCGAAAGCGUGGGGA
rnacentral:rRNA from 1 species